rnacentral:rRNA from 1 species
AGUGACGAUAGCCUAGGAGAUACACCUGUCCCCAUGCCGAACACAGAAGUUAAGCCCUAGAACGCCGGAAGUAGUUGGGGGUUGCCCCCUGUGAGAUAGGGAAGUCGCUUAGCU